GAGGGUUCAAGUCUUAAUGGAAUUAUUUGGCGUAAAGCGCACGCAGGCGGUCUGUCUAGUCGGAUGUGAAAUCGCCGGGCUCAACCUGGGAACUGCAUUCGAAACUGGCAGGCUAGAGUACUGUAGAGGGGGUGGAAUUCCAGGUGUAGCGGUGAAAUGCGUAGAGAUCUGGAGGAAUACCGGUGGCGAAGGCGGCUCUCUGCACAUAGACUGACGUUCAGGUGCGAAAGCGUGGGGAGCAAACAGGAUUAGAUACCCUGGUAGUCCACGCCGUAAACGAUGUCGACUUGGAGGUUGUGCCCUUGAGGCGUGGCUUCCGGAGGUAACCCCUUAAAUCGACCGCCUGGGGAGUACGGCCGCAAGGUUAAAACUCAAAUGAAUUGACGGGGGCCCGCACAAGCGGUGGAGCAUGUGGUUUAAUUCGACGCAACGAGAAGAACCUUACCUGGUCUUGACAUCCACAGAACUUUCCAGAGAUGGAUUGGUGCCUUCGGGAACUGUGAGACAGGUCCCGCAUGGCCGUCGUCAGGUUGUGUUGUGAAAUUUUGGGUUAAGUCCCGCAACGAGCGCAACCCUUAUCCUUUGUUGCCAGCGGUUAGGCCGGGAACUCAAAGGAGACUGCCAGUGAUAAACUGGAGGAAGGUGGGGAUGACGGCAAGUCAUCAUGCCCCUUAUGAGCAGGGCUACACACGUGCUACAAUGGUGCAUACAAAGAGAAGUGACCCCGCGAGAGCAAGCGUACCUCAUAAAUUACUUCGUAGUCCGGAUGGAGUCUGCAACUAGAAUCCAGAAGUGGAAUCUCUAGUAGUCAUGGAUCAGUACAUCGCA
rnacentral:rRNA from 1 species